AAAGAGUGUAGCUUUUUACUGUUCAUGUCCACAUUUGACCGUCUGUAUUAUUUAAAAUAAAAUUUAUGAUUAAUAUUUUUAUUGUUACUAGAUGAUAAAACAUAAACAUUACUUCGUGUGUGAUUAUUUUUUUAUAAUUUUUUUAAAUAAGACGGACGAACAAACAUUAGACAUAGAAAUCCACAAUUGCACUUAUA
rnacentral:pre_miRNA from 1 species